rnacentral:lncRNA from 1 species
ACCGGAAAAGGUAAUAUCCUUGUUCUUUCCUUUUAGACGAUGUGUGUUCUGUUUUGUCACUAUUCCGGUAGUAAAUUUCUUCCCGACUUCAAUUGUUAAUUAGUGACUCGUUAUGCCUCACUUUAUUGUUGGUUGUAUUCAUUGUAUCAUUGUGGCUUUACUGUCUUGUUACAUGCCUUUUUUUUUACUAGAGAUAUUUGGUGUAGUAACUUGCUUUCUUAUUGAUUCAUGUGUAUUUUUAUUUAAAUCUCUAGUUCUUAAAAGUGAUAAAAUGUUUAUUCUCCGAACUUACUGAUCCUAAUUUAAAUUUUAAGAAGUUAAAAGUUCUGUUGUUUGUGAUUAUUAUGAUUUAGAAAUAUUAUUCAUGAUAAGUGUUAUAGUAGCCCAAAGAUAUGAUUUUUAUUUUUUUUAUUUUUUUUUCUUUCAUUGUUGCUCCUGGAAAGGCAUAUGGAUGCAUAUUCCUUGUUUCUUACAUUUUUAAGCAUGUCCAUUUUUGUAGGCAAGAUAUCUUUGUCUAUGUCACAUACAUGAGCUUGCAUUCAUUUUGUAUCGUUACUGCUCAUCACUCGUGUUAGAAAAAUAAUAAGUCUUCAUCAAUUUUCCCUUUGAAUUGCUACUUAAAUGAUGUUUUAUUAAUGAUGAUAAGCGAGUGUUCACUUGUUUAUUUUGUUGCUUUGUCUCCCUCAUAAAUCAUAAAUGCUAAUCCUAUCAUUUAUUUAUUUUCACGUCUACUAUCGGUCGAGUUCGACUUAGACUCCGUCUUCCUCUUGCAUUGAUAUUGGGUUUCGAAACCCAACCUUCUUUAUGUUCGGGUCGGCCUCUUCGUAGUUCGAGUAAAGGGAAAUGGUGAACAGGGGUUAAGGAUCGAUUUUAGGCCCUGAAAAGCCCCCAAAAUGGGUUGUAUAUUUAAUGUAUACAAUAUUUAUACAUUGAUAUACCGGUUCAGG